ensembl:lncRNA FAM157C family with sequence similarity 157 member C
GAGGACAUUUACAAGAACUGGCGGCGGCAGCAGCAGCAGCAGCAGCAGCAGCAGCAGCAGCAGCAGCAGCAGCAACUGGAUUUGCUUUUUCACCAGAGGAUCCAGAUUUCCCUGUGGCCUCGCAAACAAAAAAGAAGGAAGACGGAGCAGCACAGUCAUUCCUUUGUGAAAAAGGCAUUCAGGUAACUGAGUGACUCAGCAAGCCUGGGUCUUGGGGAAAUUACGAAUACCUGGUUGAAGGACAGUCCUCAGGCAGAGCCCCUGAGACCUGUUGAACUCUAGAGUGUGGGAGCAGAGGAGAUUCAGGGCCUGCCCAGGGGCAGAGUGCCCCCAGGACUCGCCCUGGCUCAGUUAAGGACUCCCCUCAGGAUCUGCAGAGGUGCAAGGCAGGGUGCAGCUCUGCCUGGACUGAGCUGGAAAUGCAGCCGUGUGGCUGAAGUGGCCACUUCCUGCUUUCUGUAAAGCAGCCACAGGGACCUGUGAACAGGUAAGACCAUUGCUCUUGAUUACUGAAGAACUAGAACCCAGGCUCCCUUGACCUUCUCUCCAAAAACCCAGAUGACACGAGGACCCUCUCCCAGCUGAAGGGGCAGAUUCAUGCUUUAGAGUGUGGGGAGUCAGCGUGGGGGCACGUGAGUGUUUAGCUUAGGUGUGGGCCUCACAAAAGAGUCAAAACAAGUCAGCCAGGACUCCAGCAGCCUUCAUUGUGUGAGAGAUGCCAGCACUGUGGCCACAGCCUGACAGCUGCGCAGGCCACAUAAUGUGUGGGGCCGAGUGGAAAACGUGGGUUUUUUGUUGUUGUUGUUGUUCAAAAUCAUGAGCUUCCAGGGGCGGCAGCAGAACUUUAAACUACUCUGGGGCCCUUCUGAGCACAGGACUUGGUAUGACUGCACAGGGAUACCCAGCAGGCCAAGUGCAGCGACAGAGCGGUCUGCCCAGAGGCCAGCAGGUCCCCAGUCAGUGUCUGGCACCAGCUCCCUUCAUGACCUGGGCUGGCUCAGUUCCACGGGACUCCCAAGGCUGGAGGCUUCCCUGGAACAUCAUCCUCAGGGAUUUCCCAACAGGAGCAGCCUCUGGCUUCAGAUCUGUCCUUGUUUGACUCAUAAAUUAUCACUCAGACUGAGAAAAUUAACACUCAGUGAUUCCUGAAAGGGUGCCCAGUGCAAUAGAUAAUUUUCAAAGUGAGUUCAUCGGGGGAUUUAAUAGCCAGGCGAUGUCCAUUAAAACAGUGACAAACAUGGGGAGAAAAGGAAAAGUUCCAACUGGAAACUCAUGCUGGCUUGACAGUUGUUCUCAGGGAGCAGAACAGAAGUGGGCAUUUUCAUUCUGGUUACACCAUCAGCGAUACCUCCACGGAGCCUCUCAGCUGGUUCCUCCUGGGUCUGGGCCACAGGCCUCCCAGUAUUGCUGGUCUCAGAAGACAUCUGUGGGCAGGUUCUGUAGAGGGAAUCUGAGGCUGUGUGGGAUGAGCUGCAGGACCCCAUGUGGGGAAAGGCAGGAGGCAGCACCAGCUCCUUCACUAGGACCUGAGGGUACUGUGGCUCAUCAGGGGCCAUCGAGGACAUGGAGACCCUGCACAGUGUUUGAGGAGUCCUGCUACAUCAGUUUAUUCUGGUUUAGGUGGUUGAGGGGAGACUGAGUGAAGUCUUGGGGAUUCAGGGCUACACUGCCAACCUCUGGGACAGCAGCCCCAGUGUCCCCCGACCCAGGCCUUGCUCCUCCCUGCUGAUGAAUGCCCACUCUGCUCCCAGAUGCACACCUGUCCUGAAGACACCCGGUUCUCAUGCUCUUCUCUGCAGCAUCUGAAUUGGGCAUUCCUGGGUAAAGCAGUUUAAGUUACUUUCACUUUUAUCCACCUUGUUUCCGUUAUUUCAACCAUGCAUGUACCUUGUGUAUGUAGGAUAAAGGUGUCUAAGAAUAAAGGUCCAUGAUUUAAAGUUUUUUCCUCUUCUUUCCCUGUCCUGACCACCUGAUCAUAAACUUGUAGAAAUAAAGUGGAUCUCAUGUUGUGUAUCUUUCGAUGCAUCUAGAGAGAUGGUUAUAUUCAUAUAAAUAAACGGGCACAUCCAGCACACUA